GUGGGAAUUCCUCUUUCCUGACAUCUUUCCAGGCUGCUUCUCUGAGAUACUUCAUCUACCACUUCUGUCAAGAUCCUCUUUAAAGCUCCCCCGUCCAGUGUAAUUUUUUCUAAUAACGCUCUCCAUGCUGGCUCAUUGCUGUGCUCCCAUCAAUACACUCACUGCUCUCUCUGGGCCUCUGAGUCCUGCCUUGCUCCUGUGAUGCCUUGCCGGCUCCCUGCUACAUAAAAUGGAAUUUUCAGCCCUCACCCGAGUGAACUCCCUGUGGGUUAUUGUCCAAAUCUCUCCACGGGAUAUGAGGCAGCUCUCUCCACUGGCGAGGGAGGAUGGGGAGUAAGAAUGAAGAGGAGAGAAAGAGAAUGAGAGGAGGGCCUCACAGCUGGAGGAGAUGAGAACUAAGGUUCUCAAGCUACUAUUGUUGCAUCAGUCUCCUCUCUCCGUGCCUCUACAGUGUGUGAUGUCUUUCCACUCCAAUGCAACUUUCAAAGCCAAACCAUUUAUGAGGGCUCUCCCCAGGACAUUAUAGCAUGUCAUGGGACAUGAUGUAUCUUAUCAGCACUUCAGGGGCACGCUCCCGAAUUUCUUCAAAAACCACAGCUAAGUACC
rnacentral:lncRNA from 1 species